rnacentral:rRNA from 1 species
GAUGAACGCUGGCGGCGUGCCUAAUACAUGCAAGUCGAGCGAACAGACGAGGAGCUUGCUCCUCUGACGUUAGCGGCGGACGGGUGAGUAACACGUGGAUAACCUACCUAUAAGACUGGGAUAACUUCGGGAAACCGGAGCUAAUACCGGAUAAUAUAUUGAACCGCAUGGUUCAAUAGUGAAAGACGGUUUUGCUGUCACUUAUAGAUGGAUCCGCGCUGCAUUAGCUAGUUGGUAAGGUAACGGCUUACCAAGGCAACGAUGCGUAGCCGACCUGAGAGGGUGAUCGGCCACACUGGAACUGAGACACGGUCCAGACUCCUACGGGAGGCAGCAGUAGGGAAUCUUCCGCAACGGGCGAAAGCCUGACGGAGCAACGCCGCGUGAGUGAUGAAGGUCUUCGGAUCGUAAAACUCUGUUAUUAGGGAAGAACAAAUGUGUAAGUAACUAUGCACGUCUUGACGGUACCUAAUCAGAAAGCCACGGCUAACUACGUG